CAGACUCAACAUCUGGACAUCACUCAGCUCUGUCUCACAUGUUCAGGUGAAAAGCUCCUUCUCAUCGCGCUGAUCUCUGCGGGUGCGUCUAGUUUUCUGCUGAUUGUAGCUACAGUUAUUGGGAUCUUCUGCAUCUGCAAGAAAUCUAGCAAAACUGUCCAGAGACCGAAGGAAGACGGAAGUGAUUCAGCAUUGUGUCAACCGAAAACACGACAGAAGAUAUUGAAGAAGGAUGCUGUGUAUGAAAAUGUUCCCAAAAAGAAGAUGAUCAAAUCCUGUAACUAAUGGAAAAGAGUUCCUGCCUCACACUUUUGGUUUGGCUACUGUCUUCCAGGAUAUGUCUGUUUUGUUUUCACCCCUUGUGUCAUAUCUUUUAGUGUUAUUGUGAUGUCUGAAUUGUUUUUUUUUUUUUUUUUUUUUUUUAUUUAGUGGUUUACCAUUUGCGCUAAAUGUUCUAUUUUUAGUUUAUCAUAUGGAAAUUUUUCUAACGUUCAUUAUUAAAUAUACAUUACAACCUUCACUGUGCUGCUCAUGGCUUAUGGAGUGUUCCACAGCCCUUACGAAAAAUAAGUUUAUUCAAGUGUGCUAUUAGUAUACUUCUUUUAAACUAAAAAUAGGAGAGUAUGCUUUUAGUUUAUUUUUCUCUUCUCAGAAAUGGCAUUAUGUAC